rnacentral:rRNA from 1 species
CUUCAUGAAGCUGGAAUUGCUAGUAAUGGCAGGUCAGCAUACUGCCGUGAAUACGUUCCCGGGCCUUGUACACACCGCCCGUCACACCAUGAGAGUUGGGAAUACCCGAAGCCUGUGAGCUAACUUAUAGAGGCAGCAGUCGAAGGUAGAAUCAAUGAUUGGGGUGAAGUCGUAACAAGGUAAC